rnacentral:rRNA from 1 species
AGAACAAUGUACAACUCUUAUCGAUAAGCCAUUGGAGGGCAAGUCUGGUGCCAGCAGCCGCGGUAAUUCCAGCUCCAAUAGCGUAUAUUAACGUUGUUGCAGUUAAAAAGCUCGUAGUUGAAGUGUGGGUGAUCGCUGUUGUGAGACUUCGGUCUCUCGACAGUAAGUCACCCCCUUCCAGUAUCCAGUAGUGGGUAUUCAGUUACUUACUAUUGUGUGUUGGUCAUUUACUGUGAGAAAAUUAGAGUGUUCAAAGCAGGCGUUUGCUUGAAUAGAUUAGCAUGGAAUAAUAAUUGAAGGCUUUCGUGUUCGAUUUGAUUGGUUUGUUCAUGGAAGCAAGGUUAAAAGGAACAGUUGGGGGUAUUCAUAU